rnacentral:rRNA from 1 species
AAUGGGUCAGCGACUUAUAUUCUGUAGCAAGGUUAACCGAAUAGGGGAGCCGAAGGGAAACCGAGUCUUAACUGGGCGUUAAGUUGCAGGGUAUAGACCCGAAACCCGGUGAUCUAGCCAUGGGCAGGUUGAAGGUUGGGUAACACUAACUGGAGGACCGAACCGACUAAUGUUGAAAAAUUAGCGGAUGACUUGUGGCUGGGGGUGAAAGGCCAAUCAAACCGGGAGAUAGCUGGUUCUCCCCGAAAGCUAUUUAGGUAGCGCCUCGUGAAUUCAUCUCCGGGGGUAGAGCACUGUUUCGGCAAGGGGGUCAUCCCGACUUACCAACCCGAUGCAAACUGCGAAUACCGGAGAAUGUUAUCACGGGAGACACACGGCGGGUGCUAACGUCCGUCGUGAAGAGGGAAACAACCCAGACCGCCAGCUAAGGUCCCAAAGUCAUGGUUAAGUGGGAAACGAUGUGGGAAGGCCCAGACAGCCAGGAUGUUGGCUUAGAAGCAGCCAUCAUUUAAAGAAAGCGUAAUAGCUCACUGGUCGAGUCGGCCUGCGCGGAAGAUGUAACGGGGCUAAACCAUGCACCGAAGCUGCGGCAGCGACGCUGAUGCGUUGUUGGGUAGGGGAGCGUUCUGUAAGCCUGCGAAGGUGUGCUGUGAGGCAUGCUGGAGGUAUCAGAAGUGCGAAUGCUGACAUAAGUAACGAUAAAGCGGGUGAAAAGCCCGCUCGCCGGAAGACCAAGGGUUCCUGUCCAACGUUAAUCGGGGCAGGGUGAGUCGACCCCUAAGGCGAGGCCGAAAGGCGUAGUCGAUGGGAAACAGGUUAAUAUUCCUGUACUUGGUGUUACUGCGAAGGGGGGACGGAGAAGGCUAUGUUGGCCGGGCGACGGUUGUCCCGGUUUAAGCGUGUAGGCUGGUUUUCCAGGCAAAUCCGGAAAAUCAAGGCUGAGGCGUGAUGACGAGGCACUACGGUGCUGAAGCAACAAAUGCCCUGCUUCCAGGAAAAGCCUCUAAGCAUCAGGUAACAUCAAAUCGUACCCCAAACCGACACAGGUGGUCAGGUAGAGAAUACCAAGGCGCUUGAGAGAACUCGGGUGAAGGAACUAGGCAAAAUGGUGCCGUAACUUCGGGAGAAGGCACGCUGAUAUGUAGGUGAAGUCCCUCGCGGAUGGAGCUGAAAUCAGUCGAAGAUACCAGCUGGCUGCAACUGUUUAUUAAAAACACAGCACUGUGCAAACACGAAAGUGGACGUAUACGGUGUGACGCCUGCCCGGUGC